rnacentral:rRNA from 1 species
AUUGAACGCUGGCGGCAUGCUUUACACAUGCAAGUCGAACGGCAGCACGGGCUUCGGCCUGGUGGCGAGUGGCGAACGGGUGAGUAAUGCAUCGGAACGUGCCCAUUUGUGGGGGAUAACUACGCGAAAGCGUGGCUAAUACCGCAUACGCCCUGAGGGGGAAAGCGGGGGAUUCUUCGGAACCUCGCGCAAUUGGAGCGGCCGAUGUCAGAUUAGCUUGUUGGUGAGGUAAAGGCUCACCAAGGCGACGAUCUGUAGCGGGUCUGAGAGGAUGAUCCGCCACACUGGGACUGAGACACGGCCCAGACUCCUACGGGAGGCAGCAGGCGGGAAUAUUGGGCAAUGGACGAAAGUCUGACCCAGCGACGCCGCGUGAGGGAUGAAGCUUCUCGGAGCGUAAACCUCAAACGGAUAGGGACGAAAAGCCUAUCGGCUAAUAUCCGGUAGGCCUGACGGUACCUGUUACGAAGCUCCGGCUAACUCCGUG